AAAAACAUGUCCUUUUGAUUUAAAUUUAAGGUCUAACCUGCUCAAUGAAUUUUAAAUAGCCGCAGUAUACUGACUGUGCAAAGGUAGCAUAAUCAUUAGUUUUUUAAUUGAAAGCUGGAAUGAAGGGUUGAAUGAGAAAAUAGCUGUCUCUAUAAAAAUUUUAUAGAAUUUUAUUUUUAAGUCAAAAAGCUUAAAUUUAAAUAAAAGACGAGAAGACCCUAUAGAGUUUUAUACCUAUAAAAAAUAUUUUUUAUUUUAGUUAUUUUAAAAUUUAUUUUUUUAUAGUAUUUGGUUGGGGUGAUUGGAAAAUUUAAUAAACUUUUCUUUAAAAAUUUACAUUUGUAUAUGAAAAUAUGAUCCUUGAAUAGAGAUUAUAAGAUAAAAUUACCUUAGGGAUAACAGCGUAAUUUUUUUUGAGAGUUCUUAUCGAAAAAAAAGAUUGCGACCUCGAUGUUGGAUUAAAAUAAAUAUUUGGUGUAGAAGCUAAAUCAAUUAGGUCUGUUCGACCUUUAAAAUUUUACUUGAUCUGAGUU
rnacentral:rRNA from 1 species